rnacentral:rRNA from 1 species
ACUCAAAGGAAUUGACGGGGGCCCGCACAAGCGGUGGAACAUGUGGUUUAAUUCGAUACUACGCGAGGAACCUUACCUAGGCUUGACAUGUAUAUGACCGUCGUGGAAACACGAUUUUCCGGGCUUCGGUUCGGACGUAUACACAGGUGCUGCAUGGCUGUCGUCAGCUCGUGUCGUGAGAUGUUGGGUUAAGUCCUCUAACGAGCGCAACCCUUGCUGCCAGUUGCUACUUUGCAAAAAGAGCUACUCUGGUGGGACUGCCUGGGAAACCAGGAGGAAGGUGGGGAUGACGUCAAGUCCGCAUGGCCCUUAUGCCUAGGGCUACACACGUGUUACAAUGGCCAGUACAAAGGGUUGCUAAUCUGCAAAGACAUGCCAAUCCCAAAAAGCUGGUCUAAGUUCAGAUUGGGGUCUGCAACUCGACCCCAUGAAGUUGAAAUCGCUAGUAAUCGCAUAUCAGCAACGAUGCGGUGAAUACGUUCUCGGGCCUUGUACACACCGCCCGU